rnacentral:rRNA from 1 species
GGACUACUCGGGUUUCUAAUCCUGUUUGCUCCCCACGCUUUCGAGUCUCAGCGUCAGUAUUCGUCCAGUUGGCCGCCUUCGCCACCGGUGUUCCUCUCGAUAUCUACGAAUUUCACCUCUACACCGAGAAUUCCACCAACCUCUCCGAUACUCUAGCCUGGCAGUUUCGAGUGCACUUCCCGGGUUGAGCCCGGGGCUUUCACACCCGACUUUUCAGACCGCCUACACUCGCUUUACGCCCAGUAAUUCCGAACAACGUUUGCACCCUCUGUCUUACCGCGGCGGCUGGCAC